ACAGACCCUCUCUCACUCUCUCUCUCUCAUUCAUGGAGCUCUCAGUGUCUCAUCCGUCUUCCCUCCGCGUUCCGGCCAUCACCCCUCUCCGCAGCUCCGCCUCGUCUCCCCGUCGUGAUGGGCGCGGCGGCAAGCCAACGUGCCAAUGCUCCACCGGUCUCUACUUCAAGUUCUCGCAGGGUUCGCCGUCGCUCGGCGCGUCCAGUCCGAAAAGCCGGUCGAGACCUGCCCCGAGAAGAUCCAAUGGGAGGAGCCUUAUCCAGGCCUGUGCUUGAGUUGUAGCAGCUGGAUCUGAUCCUAUAGUGAGUAAAGUCUCUGAGUUUAAAGAUGCAUGUUGGAGAUUUUUAAGACCUCAUACAAUAAGAGGAACAUCUCUGGGCUCCUUUUUACUUGAACUUAUUCUUGCUCAUCAACGGUUCAUUGGUGGCUAGAGCUCUGAUCGAGAACUCGCACCUUAUAAAGUGGUCUCUUCUGCUUAAAGCAUUCUCUGGUCUUUUUGCUCUAAUAUGUGGGAAUGGAUAUAUUGUCGGCAUCAAUCAGAUAUACGAUAUCGGCAUUGACAAGUACGUGUUGCUUGCUUGAACAUUGUUUUAUUAAAAUAUAUCUGGCUAGAUGGGUGUUGGUUACAGCAUCACUAUUACUAGCAUGAGAAGAACUGAAAAGUUACAAGAUAUUGGAACUGAGAAACAGAGCAAAAUUACUUCCAGCCUCAACAUAGAUGUUUGAAGUGAAAGAAUGAAUGUGUUCAUAAUGAAACAAUGCGACAUCCCAAUUUUUACUGGACGUCAGAUUUAGGGUCAACAAACCUUAUUUGCCUAUAGCAGCAGGAGAUCUUUCUAUUCAACAUGCCUGGCUUUUGGUGAUUUUUUUUGCAGUGACUGGCCUGUCGAUUGUUGCUUCAAACUUUGGAUCAUUCAUCACUUCUCUUUACAGUCUGGGUCUUUUUCUUGGAACCAUCUAUUCUGUUCCUCCGUUUAGGAUGAAGAGAUUUCCUGUUGCAGCAUAUCUUAUUAUUGCCACGGUAUAUUUUCUGCCUUUUUUUUUUUUCCCGUAGAAUUGAGUAGUUUAAAUUUACUAAAUCUUUUUGUGCCUUGCUGGAGGACUAUGUUCAACUCUUUUUCGGAAGAUAUUGUACUUGUAUUGGCACCAUAA